GUGGGGAAUAUUGGACAAUGGGCGCAAGCCUGAUCCAGCCAUGCCGCGUGAGUGAUGAAGGCCUUAGGGUUGUAAAGCUCUUUCACCGAUGAAGAUAAUGACGGUAGUCGGAGAAGAAGCCCCGGCUAACUUCGUGCCAGCAGCUGCGGUAAUACGAAGGGGGCUAGCGUUGUUCGGAUUUACUGGGCGUAAAGCGCACGUAGGCGGUUUGUUAAGUCAGGGGUGAAAUCCCGGAGCUCAACUCCGGAACUGCCUUUGAUACUGGCAAGCUAGAGUACGGAAGAGGUAAGUGGAACUCCUAGUGUAGAGGUGGAAUUCGUAGAUAUUAGGAAGAACACCAGUGGCGAAGGCGGCUUACUGGUCCGGAACUGACGCUGAGGUGCGAAAGCGUGGGGAGCAAACAGGAUUAGAUACCCGGGUAGUCC
rnacentral:rRNA from 1 species